rnacentral:rRNA from 1 species
AACGAACGCUGGCGGCAUGCCUAACACAUGCAAGUCGAACGAGACCUUCGGGUCUAGUGGCGCACGGGUGCGUAACGCGUGGGAACCUGCCCUUAGGUUCGGAAUAACUCCCCGAAAGGGGUGCUAAUACCGGAUAAUGUCUUCGGACCAAAGAUUUAUCGCCUUUGGAUGGGCCCGCGUUGGAUUAGCUAGUUGGUAGGGUAAAAGCCUACCAAGGCGACGAUCCAUAGCUGGUCUGAGAGGAUGAUCAGCCACACUGGGACUGAGACACGGCCCAGACUCUUCCGGGAGGAGGGGGGGGGGAAUGGUGGAAAGGGGGCGAAGUCUUGAUCCACCAAGGCCGGGGGAGGGGUGAAGGCUUGGGGGUUGAAAGGCUUUUUACCCGGGGAAAAAAAGGACGGUACCGGAAAAAAAAGCCCCGGCUAACCCCGUC